CAGAUCAAGUGGUUUACCAGAAUGAAACUACAGUGCACUCCUCUCAUCUGCAUGGUGAUGCUUGUCUCUCUGAAUCAAUCAGAGGCUCAGAAAAUGCUGAAAAUGAUGCAGAUGAAUCCAGCUAUGUCACAUACUCGUUGAUUCAGCUUAAACACAGUAGUAAUAAAGGGCAGCAUAAUGAACCAGAGGAGAGCUCCCUUUACUCGAAUGUGAAGACAAGAUCAGCUGCAGGAAGAUCAUCUCCUGCAGCAACAGAGGAAACUGUUUAUUCAGAAGUCAAAAUAGGAACGGCUCUUGGUAAUAAUGCUCCCAUGUAAUGUGCAUGUUGUGAUUUGUGUCUUUAAAGCGACUACAUCUUAAAUAUCCUUUUAUCUCUGCUUUUGCUGGUUUUCUUCCAGUUCCA